UACGAAGGGGGCUAGCGUUGUUCGGAUUUACUGGGCGUAAAGGGCGCGUAGGCGGUGCAAUAAGUCAGGCGUGAAAGCCCCGGGCUCAACCCGGGAAUUGCGCUUGAUACUGUUGCGCUUGAAUCCAGGAGAGGAUGGCGGAAUUCCCAGUGUAGAGGUGAAAUUCGUAGAUAUUGGGAAGAACACCAGUGGCGAAGGCGGCCAUCUGGCCUGGAAUUGACGCUGAGGCGCGAAAGCGUGGGGAGCAAACAGGAUUAGAUACCCUGGUAGUCCACGCUGUAAACGAUGAGUGCUAGACGUCGGGAAGCUUGCUUUUCGGUGUCGAAGCUAACGCAUUAAGCACUCCGCCUGGGGAGUACGGCCGCAAGGUUAAA
rnacentral:rRNA from 1 species